CGAGUGAAGCGGCAACAGCUCAAAUUUGAAAUCUGGCUCCUCUAGAGUCCGAGUUGUAAUUUGUAGAGGGUGCUUUGGCGAAGGCUGCGGCCUAAGUUCCUUGGAACAGGACGUCACAGAGGGUGAGAACCCCGUACGUGGCUGCCAGCCUGAGCCGUGUAAAGCCCCUUCGACGAGUCGAGUUGUUUGGGAAUGCAGCUCUAAAUGGGAGGUAAAUUUCUUCUAAAGCUAAAUAUUGGCCAGAGACCGAUAGCGCACAAGUAGAGUGAUCGAAAGAUGAAAAGCACUUUGGAAAGAGAGUCAAAAAGCACGUGAAAUUGUUGAAAGGGAAGCGCUUGCAGCCAGACUUGCGUUAAGUGUAUGCUUGGGCAAUUGCCCCUGCUUUAUCUUAAUCGCAGGCCAGCAUCAGUUCGGGCGGCUGGAUAAAGGCCUUGGGAAUGUAGCUCUCUCCGGGGAGUGUUAUAGCCCUCGGUGUCAUGCAGCCAGCCUGGACUGAGGUUCGCGCAUCUGCUAGGAUGCUGGCGUAAUGGCUGUAAGCGGCCCGUCUUGAAACACGGACCAAGGAGUCUAACAUCUAUGCGAGUGUUUGGGUGUCAAGCCCGGACGCGUAAUGAAAGUGAACGGAGGUGGGAACCCGUAAGGGUGCACCAUCGACCGAUCCUGAUGUCUUCGGAUGGAUUUGAGUAAGAGCAUAGCUGUUGGGACCCGAAAGAUGGUGAACUAUGCCUGAAUAGGGUGAAGCCAGAGGAAACUCUGGUGGAGGCUCGCAGCGGUUCUGACGUGCAAAUCGAUCGUCAAAUUUGGGCAUAGGGGCGAAAGACUAAUCGAACUAUCUAGUAGCUGGUUCCUGCCGAAGUUUCCCUCAGGAUAGCAGUAACGUUUUCAGUUUUAUGAGGUAAAGCGAAUGAUUAGAGGCCUGGGGGUUGAAACAACCUUCACCUAUUCUCAAACUUUAAAUAUGUAAGAAGUCCUUGUUACUUUGUU
rnacentral:rRNA from 1 species